CCGCCCUUUAAGAACUUUGGCCAUGGCUUGUUUAUAGCCACAAACAAUUAUUUAACACUUUUUGAUACCGAUUUUAGCUUGAUGCUAAUAAUGUUAUUGGGAUUUUAUAUGUUUGGGAGCAAGAGCCUAAUCACAUCAGACAAGCCAGCUGGAAAAUUAAAAGCCAGACCGGGUUUAUGUGCAGAAGAUGCCAGUGAAUAUAUGACCUUCUUGAAAAGAAGUUUGAUAACUUAUUGUAUACCACACCACCAGCAAACACUGAGCAUCUCUGCUCAAUGCCUGUAUUAUAAGAGGAGGACAUGGAACAUUGUGCAAAAGCAGCUAUUCUCGCCUAUCCCACUUGCAGAUGAAACAAUGCAAACAUUAUGUGACUAAUAAAAGCUCAUAUUACAGAU